UCGCUCUCCUUCCCUUCUCCCUCUUCAUGACUGCUCGGUCUAAUAGUACGUAAUUAUAUUAGUUCUAACAUAUGACAUAUGUCCAUGCGUCUUGCUACUGCUUUUCCUUCUUCUAUGGUUUUGUUCUGAUAAGUUUGAUAUGGCGGGGAUUUGUAGAGCACUCCCUGCAUUAAGAUCGCUACUGCAAUUUGCGCGGAGCCAUGCGAAGCUGCCGGCCACUCCCCGACGGCGAUCCUCCACGAUCUGAUCCAACCACUGCCGUCGAGGCUCAAUUCGCUGCUGCAUUACCACAUGAUGAUCCAGGGAAGCGCUCGGAAUAAGUUUGCCCAUGCAACGUUUUUAAGGUACCUAAAAAUAAUCCACGUUGCUAAUUGAUUGAGUUCUCAGCGAUGCUGUUGUGUCUGUGUGUCUUUGAUAUCAAAAACAUGAGCGGGAAGAAGGUUCCUGCGUUAAUUGGAUUGUCAACAAGAAGGUUUCUGCGUUAGCUCAUAGUCUGCUGUUUAGGCAAUUUUGUUGCCACUUGUAAGCAAUGAAAUAGUUGCUUUUUUCUUUCAAAAAUAAAAAUCUGAAAAGAUGAACUAAUACGUCCCCUUUUCCUACUACCAAAUCCGUUCUUGGUAUUGCUCUAAAUGCACGGAGGAUUCCCAGAAGACAGGCAAUUGUGUUUUGGUAAUUUUGUCGCCACUUAAUUGGUAAGUAAUGUAAUAGCUGGUUUUCCUUUCAAAAGUAAAAAUCUGAAAAGAAGAACUAAUGCGUCCCCUCUUCCUUGUACCAAAUCCGUUUCUGAUACUGCUCUAAAUGAGCCAUCGCAUUCUCCUCUAUUUAAAGGCCAAUCUCCCUCCUCUCACAUGCACAGAAAAGAAUACACAUCGGAAACCAUGGCAUCCCGCUGCUCCACGAUGAUGCUCGCUCUCCUUGUCUUCUCCCUCGUCAUCAUGACUACUCAGUCUACCAGUACGUAAUUGUAUUAGUUCUAAUUUCUUCUCGGUGGUUUUGGUCUGAUAAGUUUGAUCCGGCGGGGAUUUGUAGACUACUACUCCUUGGACGAAUAUAGGAACUGCGAUAUUGUUGGGGAAGGCUGCACGAAAGACGAUCAAUGCGGGUAUAUAUGCAAAAUUUUCGGUCGCUCGAAGAAAAACGUCCUCUGCAUUCCCGAUCCAUUCCACAAAGACCGUGGCAGUGUUUGCUGCUGCCUUAUUUAAUGAUGAACCGAGGAAGCGUUGUAAUAAGCUCGCACACGCAACAUUUUUAAGGUACCUAAAAACAAUCAAGUUGCAGAA
rnacentral:lncRNA from 1 species